UUCUAUGGUUGAUUUAAUGGAAAGUAUCGGUAUCUGCGAGAGGUAUCGUAAAUUUUGUUUCAAUAUUUUACCUUCGUAUUGUAUUCGUGAUGACGGCAUUAACACAAUGUUGUUGUAUCUUUUCAUUCGGCAUUGACUUGAAUUUUGUAAUGGUAGAUGCUGAAAUGCAAUAGUCGCUUGAACUCAUGAAAUUAUGGUACUUUUAUUUAGGAAGCUGGAUGAGGUAAGACCUAGGAUAAUGAAUUUCUACUUAUGGAGCCAUUUUUGCUGCACUGAUCCGUGUUCAGGUUAUAGUCUUGAAAGGAUAUGAAUUAAAAACCAACCUUGCCAUUGUGCGGGUAUUGAAGCGAUAUCACAAAGAUGUACAUUUACAAGAAUUGAACGAAACGCUGAGAAAGGCUUAUGCAAACCGAAGAGACCUUUGGGAGUUUGCCGAAAUUUUUACAAAGAGUUAUCAUAUUGCGAAGACUAUAAGGUUCCAAGCCUUUGCAGUGCAAAACGAUAUAUUUGUAGAAACAUCUAUAUUUUCUAUUGCGAUCUAGCGGAAGUAUCUUGCUGGAAGGCGUGUCUUCUUAGAAUUUGCUUCAGAAAGUGGGGGACACGAACAUCAAAGGUUUCGACACUAGUGGACCUUCUGUCAAGAUAUCUAUUCUUUGAUAAUAGUAAUGUAUGUUAGAUAACGGAGGGGUCACCAAGUUUAAACUGAAGAUACGCGUGAUUGCAUAUGCACGUUUACCUACUAUAAGAGCACUGGAAGAUUGACAAUCGGGUUGGGUGAGCUCGUAUUCUUAUAUUCAUCUUUAAUCAAUAACAUAAUCUAAUAAAGUAAAAAUGUAUGCAUGAAUAUUAGCCCAUAUUUAUCAGUCUGCUGACCUGCCUGUAGGUACAAAGUAUUAAGAAUUUAAUCAACCAAAUGUCAGACUUCACUUACUUCGGUCUCGGAGUAUAUUAACUUCGGUCUCUGAAAAUAUUAACUUUUUCUUGCA